ACAACAACAACAACAACAAAACAUGCCACGUGUGCACUGGCAUAUACAAACACGCCCACAGAACCAAACCAAACGGACAAGGCUUCAAGGAGAGCUUCUAGGCGGCUCAUUCCCGCGGCGAGGCAUAUCCCUUGGCAUCGUGCCAUUGCAGCCCAGUUCCCAGCCCCCCCGCCAUCUGUCAUCAGCGCUCUGCCUACUGAAAAAGAAAUGUCAGUAUACCACCAGAUCAAAAUACUCUGUCUAUCUAAAAAGGACCAAGCCCAGUUGCCCAGAGGAAGAAAAAAACAAUCUGUUGUGGUAGACUGAAGAAGCAAGAAGUUAUACGGUCAGAUUCAUUCACAACUGACAAAACUGUUCAUUGUGCAGACCUUUUCUUGAAUGCUUGAAUCUGUGGUUAGGUAGAAGGACUUCUCUUCCCCUGCCUUUAUUUAUUCUCUCUUUAUGUCAUGCUUCAGAGCUUUCUCCCUAGACAAUAAGUCCUGUGUCUGGUUAUUCUGAGGCAAGAACAUAAUAAAUGCUUACUCUUUUUGUGGAAAUACUGGACACUUCAGGGAAAGUGCAUUUGACAUGGUGGCCAUGUCUAAAACAUAGUCAUAUCAUUAAUAUCAAUAAUGU
rnacentral:lncRNA from 1 species